AUGAAGUGAUGAUAGAAUUCUUGCUCAAUCCACUGAAUUACAUUUUUUAUGAUGUAAAAAGUGAAUCUCGACAGGUUCUGAUCGA